GACUCGCGCUGCGGCUAGCGCGAGCCCAUAGCGAUGAUAGCGGGCGAGCGAACGUUCUCGAACGUUCGAUUGCCUAACGCUAAAUAAUUAAUCUCGCUCUCGAACAACGAUUGAUCCGCCAACAUUAAAGUGGGGACGUAGCAUGUGGGGAUGCACUUGGAGGAUUGGUCGGUGCUCUCUCAGUUUAUCGUUUACUAGAGUAUCGUACAUGCUCCGACGUUUGCUUCCUAGUAUAUCCUUGGAACCGUAGACAGAUGGUAGUCACGAGCACGAUCUGUCCGUCGCUGCAAAUCGGCCUUCGAGCAUUCGCGGUAUGGCCGGGCGUACCCUACGCCGACGUUCGUCGACUGAUUUAUGUGUUAAGCUUAGUCGUCAUACAGUACUUUCAAUAUUUGUUCAUUUACGUGACCUUCAAGUAUAGCCAGCUACAAAAUCUCUUGGACAGCAUACCAUCGACCAUGUAUUACACUUUGACCGCCGUCAAGCUGAUAACACUUUGGAAGUACGAUCGCGUGAUUCGUGAAAUACUGGCCACUAUAGAGUCUGAUUGGCGCGAGUGCGUGAAAGUCGAUCAGCACUUGCACAUAAUGACGACGAAAGCUAACAUCUCCAGUUUUUGCGCACACGGCUUGUUGGCUUUGAACUCUAUUGCUGGUUUGCUCUACUUCGGUGGCGAAAAUGCGAUUGCUAUAGUGCACAUGCUGAAGGGCAACAAUGUUACUUCACGACCGUUUCCCGUGAGGGUAGUGUUCCCCUCAGCGGCCGAGCAAUCACCGGUUUACGAGCUGCUUGUCUUCAUCUUGUUUCUGCACGGAAUGUCGACAAUAAUUAUCGUUAAUGUUCUGUCCGGUGUGAUCCUUACUCUGGUAUUUCAUGCAUGCGGACAAAUCGAAAUCAUAUGUCAACAAUUGAAAAAUAUGUCUGAGAAAAUGAUGAAUUAUGGAUCUCCACGUUUUUCAACAGGAAUGCUGGUCGACAGGCACAAUAAAGUCAUCACAUUUGCUGAGAAUGUUGACAAGCUUUUCUCCUUCAUAGCUCUGAUACAAGUUUUUGGUAAUACUUUAGUAGUCUGCUUCCUAGGACUCUUCCUUAUAACAUCUCAUAAUAAAGCUGGUGUUGGUCUGUUCAAAUCCGUAUUUGCAUACGCCGGUAUAACAGCGGAAAUUUUUACAUUUUGUUUUGUUGGAGAAUACCUAAGCCUUAAGAUCACUCGGCGAUGCAGGAUAUGAAACUUUAUGGUACAAUAUGGCGCCCAGUCAUUGUAAAGAUAUAUUAUUCAUAAUUAUGAGGUCUCAGAAGCAAUUGACCAUGACGGCUGGAGGAAUGAUGGAUUUAUCGUUGGAAGCCUUCACCAGCGUAAGUAGAUCAUGAAAGCGUCCGCGUCAUAUAUGUCCGUUUUGAAUGCGAUGUAUUGACGUUGUUUAAAACUUAUAGAAUGACAAUAUUAGCGAUAAAUGUAAUUAGUAAAGGUUGACAAUUUAGAAACUGUAAUCAAUGAAACUAGGUAAUAAUUGUAUAUUGAAUCUUGAUACUGAUUCAAAGUGUCAGGUAUUAGAUGGUUACAGAAUCUGAGCUUAUAGUUAAUAAGAUGCAAUAAAUACCUCAUGCUUUUGCUUUGCGCGUUGUUAUAUAGUGCAUAUUAUGAUAUUUUUACUUAGAAAAUAAUAACGUGGAUGUAUAGUCCGCAUCAUAUCCAAGAAAUUUUCUGUUGGACUUUCAUCGGAAGCUUGAGUAUCUCUGCAUAGUUUAAGUUUCUCGCUGCUUGUGCUUUCAAGUAGUCUCCCACUCAUAUCUAGUCGAUUCUGGUCCUUCUACUUUCGAUAAUUUUGCUGGAGAUAUGAUCGGCAGAGAAUCAACUACUAAAACAUGAAGAAAAGUUACUCGUUAUUACCUUAUCCCUUCUCAGCACAUAGGAGCCAUAAUAUUUCCUUCCCUCGAUCAUUUCUCUUUCAACAAUUACGAUUACCAUACAAGCCUAAUCGGUUUGAACGCCUAGUACGUAAUUGCGAUCACUCAGCCGUGUUUGCACGUAUUAAAUAUAAUCUUCAUAAUAUAUGGAAAAUGGCUUUUUCGUUUUUUCUUUUCUAUUGUUACAUCGUGAUGCAUGAAAGAAUGUAAAACUGACAAAGCGAUUAUUAUAGUUUAGUGGACGAUAUGAACUUCAUUUUAAUACACCGUCGGAUAUAUAGUUUGAUGCAUUUAUGGUAUAGCCUGAUAAAUAAUAAGCACUAUCUUAAAUUACUGUCUGAUUAUGUGUGGUCAAUAGAUAUAUAAUUUUCUAUCAAGCCAUAUUGGCUUACAAGUGCUUUAU